rnacentral:rRNA from 1 species
GAUGAACGCUGGCGGCGUGCUUAAUACAUGCAAGUCGAGCGAACAGACGCGGCGCUUGCUCCUCUCACGUUAGGGGCGGAGGGGGGAGAAACACGUGGAAACCCUCCCUAUAAUACUGGUAUAAUUUGGGAAAACCGGCGCAAAUCCGGUAUAAUCUCUUGAACCACAGGGUUAAUUGGUAAAUUACGGUUUUGCGGUAUCUACUCGCUGGUUCCGGGCCUCUUUGUCUGGUUGUUAAGGUAACGGCUUACCAAGGCAACGAUGCGUGACCGACUUGAGAGGGUGAUCGGCCACAGUGGAACUGAGACACGGUCCAGACUCCUACGGGAGGCAGCAGUAGGGAAUCUUCCGAAAAGGGCGAAAGCCUGACGGAGCAACGCCGCGUGAGUGAUGAAGGUCUUCGGAUCGUAAAACUCUGUUAUUAGGGAAGAACAAAUGUGUAAGUAACUAUGCACGUCUUGACGGUACCUAAUCAGAAAGCCACGGCUAACUACGUG